CCUAAAGGCGUAAUGAAAGUAAAGAUUAUCCUUGCGAUAAUUAAGGGAGGAUGAGUUGUGUUACGAUGCUACUCCGCACUCCCGGGGCGUCUCGUUCUUAUUACAAGAAGAGGCGCACCCAGAGCGUACACGUUGGGACCCGAAAGAUGGUGAACUAUGCCUGGUCAGGAUGAAGUCAGGGGAAACCCUGAUGGAGGUCCGUAGCGAUUCUGACGUGCAAAUCGAUCGUCGGAACUGGGUAUAGGGGCGAAAGACUAAUCGAACCAUCUAGUAGCUGGUUCCCUCCGAAGUUUCCCUCAGGAUAGCUGGCACUCSUUUGAACGAGUCUCAUCUGGUAAAGCGAAUGAUUAGAGGCCUUGGGGCCGAAACNACCUCAACCUAUUCUCAAACUUUAAAUGGGUGAGAUCUCUGGCUUGCUUGAAUAUAUGAAGCCAC
rnacentral:rRNA from 1 species